UGGGGAAUAUUGGACAAUGGGCGCAAGCCUGAUCCAGCCAUGCCGCGUGGAUGAAGAAGGCCCUAGGGUUGUAAAGUCCUUUCGACGGAGACGAUAAUGACGGUAUCCGUAGAAGAAGCCCCGGCUAAUUUCGUGCCAGCAGCCGCGGUAAUACGAAAGGGGCUAGCGUUGUUCGGAAUUACUGGGCGUAAAGCGCACGUAGGCGGUCGUGUAAGAUGGGGGUGAAAUCCCGGAGCUCAACUCCGGAACUGCCUUCAUGACUGCAUGGCUAGAGGAUGCGAGAGGUUGGCGGAAUUCCGAGUGUAGAGGUGAAAUUCGUAGAUAUUCGGAAGAACACCAGUGGCGAAGGCGGCCAACUGGCGCAUUUCUGACGCUGAGGUGCGAAAGCGUGGGGAGCAAACAGGAUUAGAUACCCUUGUAGUCCCUGAGCGGGCUGGCAAGGCGCAU
rnacentral:rRNA from 1 species